rnacentral:tRNA from 1 species
GGUUUGUAAAGGUGGAUUGCAAAUCCGCUAUAGCUUAAAGCACGAGCCU